GACGAACGCUGGCGGCGUGCUUAACACAUGCAAGUCGAACGGAAAGGCCCUGCUCUUGUGGGGUUCUCGAUUGGCGAACGGGUGAGUAACACGUGAGUAACCUGUCCUUGUCUUUGGGAUAACUUCAGGAAACUGGGGCUAAUAUCGGAUAGGAGCUCCUGCUGCAUGGUGGUGGUUGGAAAGUUUCGGCGGUUGGGGAUGGACUAGCGGCUUAUCAGCUUGUUUGUGGGGUAGGUGCUUACCAAGGCUUUGACGGGUAGGCGGCCUGAGAGGGUGACCGGCCACAUUGGGACUGCGAUACGGCCCAGACUCCUACGGGAGGCAGCAGUGGGGAGUAUUGCACAAUGGGCGGAAGCCUGAUGCAGCAACGCCGCGUGCGGGAUGACGGCCUACGGGUUGUGAACCGCUUUCGCCUGUGACGAAGCGUGAGUGACGGUAAUGGGUAAAGAAGCACCGGCUAACUACGUG
rnacentral:rRNA from 1 species